rnacentral:sRNA from 1 species
CUUCACGCGGUGCACCCGCCGAAGCCUCCCGCAGCGACUCUAAAACAAAUUGCGUCAGUCCGCCUCGCGGGCGACACCACGAUCCUACUGGGACUUCUGCAACCGUCUCCGACGGUGCAGAUACCAGUGGCCUGUGCAACAGGUUCACAGAUCAAACAGUGGUGGCCACUGUGUGGUUAAGAUAUGACCGGUCUCCGCUGUAACCAGCCGGAGAAGCCACGUUCCGUAGGUGAACCUGCGGAAGGAUCAUUACAGAGUUAGGGUCUUUCCAGGCCCGACCUCUCCAACCCUAUGCGUAUCUACCUCUGUUGCUUUGGCGGGCCCGUUGGGGUGACCCACCGGUGGCCUUUGGCUCCCGAGUGCCCGUCAGAGACCCAUUCAAACCUGUUAACUGUGCCGUCUGAGUACCAACAUAAUAAUUAAAACUUUCAACAACGGAUCUCUUGGUUCUGGCAUCGAUGAAGAACGCAGCGAAAUGCGAUAAGUAAUGUGAAUUGCAGAAUUCAGUGAAUCAUCGAAUCUUUGAACGCACAUUGCGCCCCUCGGUACUCCGGGGGGCAUGCCUGUUCGAGCGUCAUUACACCACUCAAGCUCGGCUUGGUGUUGGGCCUUCGUCCCCCGUGGACGUGCCCGGAAAUCAGUGGCGGCGCAGCCCGGCUUCAAGCGGUAUCAAGUUUAUCUUCGCUUUGGAAGCUCCGGGUCUGCGUCUGCCGGACAACCCCCAUCAUUUCACAAGGUUGACCUCGGAUCAGGUAGGGAUACCCGCUGAACUUAAGCAUAUCAAUAAGCGGAGGAAAAGAAACCAACAGGGAUUGCCUCAGUAACGGCGAGUGAAGCGGCAACAGCUCAAAUUUGAAAUCUGGCUCUUUCAGGGUCCGAGUUGUAAUUUGCAGAGGAUGCUUCGGGUUCGGCUCCGGUCUAAGUUCCUUGGAACAGGACGUCAUAGAGGGUGAGAAUCCCGUAUGUGACCGGCCGCCACGCCCGUGUGAAGCUCCUUCGACGAGUCGAGUUGUUUGGGAAUGCAGCUCAAAAUGGGUGGUAAAUUUCAUCUAAAGCUAAAUAUUGGCCAGAGACCGAUAGCGCACAAGUAGAGUGAUCGAAAGAUGAAAAGCACUUUGGAAAGAGAGUCAAACAGUACGUGAAAUUGUUGAAAGGGAAGCGCUUGCAACCAGACUUGCCCGCGGGUGAUCAGCCGAUAUUCUUACCGGUGCACUCACCCGUGGUCAGGCCAGCAUCGGUUUGGGCGGCUGGAUAAAGUCCCCCGGAACGUAGCUCCCUUCGGGGAGUGUUACAGCCGGAGGUGCAAUGCAACCCGCCCGGACCGAGGACCGCGCU